ACUCAGUAGCUUAGUGGAUAAUGCGAUAGCUUUUCAAGCGAAAGACACUGGGUUCGAGUCUCGGAGUGA
rnacentral:tRNA from 1 species